rnacentral:rRNA from 1 species
AGAGUUUGAUCCUGGCUCAGGACGAACGCUGGCGGCGUGCCUAAUACAUGCAAGUAGAACGCUGAAGGAGGAGCUUGCUUCUCUGGAUGAGUUGCGAACGGGUGAGUAACGCGUAGGUAACCUGCCUGGUAGCGGGGGAUAACUAUUGGAAACGAUAGCUAAUACCGCAUAAUAGUAGAUGUUGCAUGACAUUUGCUUAAAAGGUGCAAUUGCAUCACUACCAGAUGGACCUGCGUUGUAUUAGCUAGUUGGUGGGGUAACGGCUCACCAAGGCGACGAUACAUAGCCGACCUGAGAGGGUGAUCGGCCACACUGGGACUGAGACACGGCCCAGACUCCUACGGGAGGCAGCAGUAGGGAAUCUUCGGCAAUGGACGGAAGUCUGACCGAGCAACGCCGCGUGAGUGAAGAAGGUUUUCGGAUCGUAAAGCUCUGUUGUAAGAGAAGAACGAGUGUGAGAGUGGAAAGUUCACACUGUGACGGUAACUUACCAGAAAGGGACGGCUAACUACGUGCCAGCAGCCGCGGUAAUACGUAGGUCCCGAGCGUUAUCCGGAUUUAUUGGGCGUAAAGCGAGCGCAGGCGGUUAGAUAAGUCUGAAGUUAAAGGCUGUGGCUUAACCAUAGUACGCUUUGGAAACUGUUUAACUUGAGUGCAGAAGGGGAGAGUGGAAUUCCAUGUGUAGCGGUGAAAUGCGUAGAUAUAUGGAGGAACACCGGUGGCGAAAGCGGCUCUCUGGUCUGUAACUGACGCUGAGGCUCGAAAGCGUGGGGAGCAAACAGGAGUAGAUACCCUGGUAGUCCACGCCGUAAAC